UUUCAUGAUGAAAAAAAAUUACACAGACCUGUACUAAUCUCAUUCUUACGAGGGUGAGAAGUGCGGAUAAAUAAUUGCCUUUACUGACU
rnacentral:snoRNA from 1 species